UGGAGGAUCUUGAAGAUGAAACAUCUGUAGAUUAUGAAAUAUUUAUAGGAAAACGCUGACAAAUGCAUGGUUGCUUCCUGGUUACUUAGAAAAUUAAAGGUGCUCCUUCAGCAAGUUAAAGUAUAUGAAACAACCAAACGUGGAUUCUAUUUGCUUCCUGUUGGGGAACAUUCAGUUGCAGCCUUACAAUGGUCUACAGGGUGGCAAGGCCCCCACUGGACAUAUUUUCAUUUGGAAUAUCCUUUAAUUCCUUUCUACUCAUAUGGAGAAUAAAAUAACUUUAAAGUACACUGAAAACAGCCUAGAAUCCAUCCCAACAUAGCUGGUAUUGCUCUACUGCCAGUCUUCUACAUGACACUUACGGAGAUUUGCUGUACUUGAAAUCUUCGAA